CAUCUGGAAUGGGGAAAACCCAAUCCCACCUUGAGUACUUCCUGGUGCUAUUUUUUCACCUGGAGGGGCACUUCUCCACAGAAAAAUUCAGCAAAGAUCUGACUCUCCCUUCAAUCUUCAUUCUUCAUCAGAACUGGGAGAGUGACAAAUUUAUUGUUUUAAAGAGGGAAGAGAAAAAAGGGGAAUUGAACCUGUUUGCAAGCCUCAGAAAAAAGGACUGAAACUCCAAAUAGCUCUUGAGUAUCAGUGAAUUUUCAGGAACAGUUGGCAGCUUAAAUUUAUCUGGCCUUAAUGAAUUCCUGCCCUAAAAAGAAAAAGACUUAUGGUCGACUUAAAGAUAAGGAAACUACAGCUCAGAGGUCAAAUGAUGAUUUUGCCCCAAUCACAUAGUCCAAAUCCAGCAUGGUGAACUUGAAUGUAUAUUGUUUUUUGUUUGUUUGUUUUGUUUUGUUUUGUUUUAACCCUUACCUUCUGUCUUGGAAUCAAUACUGUGUAUUGGCUCCAAAGCAGAAGAGUGGUAAGGGCUAGGCAAUGGGGGUCAAGUGACUUGCCCAAGGUCACACAGCUGGGAAGUGUCUGAGGCCAGAUUUGAACCUAGGACCUCCCAUCUCUAGGCCUUACUCUCAAUCCACUGAGCCACCCAGCUGCCCCCUGUAUAUUGUUUUUUAGAGUCAAAAGGCCCAGUUUGACUUAUAAGCAAAUUGCUUUCACUUUCUAUGCCUCAAUUUAUCUCCACAAAAAGAAGAUUAUACUAGAUAAUCUCUAAUUAUCAAUUACAAUUCUAAAUUUCAUGGUCUGAGGAUACUAGGAUUCCAACUACAGUACCUAAAUGUCAUCCUCAGCUCCUUUCACUCUUACCCUCUUAUAUAUACAGUCUAUUAACAAGCUGAGAUUUUACCUUUUCUGGUUUUGUUUUGUUUUUUCCUGUAACACUGCCACCACUACAGUGCAGGUUCUUAUCACCUCACACUCCAUCUAUUGCAAUAGCCUGUUAGUUGUUCUUACCACAAGCUCUCUCCAUCAUUUCAGUUCAUCCUCUACUGGUCAGAUAUCUUCCUAAAAGCAGCAUUCUCAUUCAUUCUCUCUCUCUCUCUCUCUCUCUCUCUCUCUCUCUCUCUCUCUCUCUCUCUCUCUCUCUCUCUCUCUCUCUCUCACACACACACACACACACACACACACACACAUACACACACACACUUCAAUAAAUUCGAAUGAAUCCCUACAUAAUCAAAGAUAAAAAACUUCAGCAUUCAAAACUCUUCAUACACUGGAUAACUCCACCUUCAAACGCUGGGCUUUUCUGACUUCCUAGGCUUUCAACACAUCCUAGCUAAAAUUUUACUUUUUAUAGGGAGCCUUUCCUGAUUCCUAUUCAUUCUAAUUAGAAUGAUAUUUCGAAUUUAUCUUGUAUAUAGCUUAUUAGUACAUACAUAUCUGUUGGUAAGUAGUUUCCCACUUUAGAGUGACUUCUUUGAGAGCAGGGGCUAUCUUUUGCCAGUGCCUAGCAUAUAGUGGGCACUUAAAGUUUACUGGCUCAUUGACUCUACACCACCUUGACCUUCUAUAACACAAUCAUCAAAGAAAAGGUGUUAUCUCAAAAAAGAUUAAAUUUUAUGAUAACCUUCCUAGUUAAAACUUACUUCCACCAAUUUUCACAGAUACCACAAAUGAAUGAGAAGUAUUGGAUUGGUUUUCUGUGGUAUUGGCUAACAAUAAAAUUUUACAUAUUGCUCUAUGCUAGCAACCCAAAGAUGGCACUAAAAUAAAAGAGAACACUGAAGAUAGCCAAACAGUGAUAAAAUUUUUAGUUCUAAGGCACACCUAAAAGAAUGUGUGCUACAUUUAUAGCUCUCACAAAGUAUUCUUCAGAGCACCUCAAAAUAUACUAAAACCAAAACACUGCUAUUUUGGAAUUGACAUGCUGUUAAUGAUACUAAUCAGCAAACAAAACAGAUGUCUACAUUUUAUCCUACUUGUGGUAGAAUGACUUAUUUUUCUACUAAAUCAAUAACAUUUGUAGAGUACUUUUACCUACAUUAUCUUUUUUUAACAUCCUAAGAAAUAAAGGUGUUAAUGAAAAAAACUACAAACUAGUAUGACAUUUAUAAAUUACUUUCCUCAGGUUUAUCCACCCAGAACAGAACUAAUAAGUAGUCACUUUGAAAUCAACUACUUUUCUGUGGAAAAACUAGUAAAAUUGCCUCCUUUAAAAAUAUCAAUAUCAAGCAUAUUGUUUUUAUAGUUAUGGUGAAUACAUAAAACACAAUUUCAUUAUUUAUAAAUUAUAAAACUCUAUAGGAAUAUGAGCUAUUGAGUGUUUACACAUAAGAGAUUUCACAAAUUAACUACUCCAAAAAAAUAAAUUCACUUUUUAGCAAAAUGGCCUCUUGUUUUAAUUGCUGAGAAAGUUAAACUACAAGAAAUAACACUAAAUUUACAAGUAUUAAUACACUGAAUUCAUAGCCAACUUGGAAACAUUAACAAAAUUAUGACUAAUACAUUUGCAUUUGGACAUUUUUCCGCAUGUGGAGUGCUUAAGAGUAGAUAAUACAGGAAAGGAUAAAUUCUAAAAGACAAACUUUUGAUUUGAUUUUAUCAAGAAAAAUGAAAAACUAAUACAUUCUGGGAGGGGGAAAAACUUUUCCAGCAAGUAACUUGAUUGCCUUCAAAAAUAAAAAUACAAAGAUCAAUCAUUUACAAUGCAAGGUGAAAAUUAAUGACUCAAAAGAGGUGAAUUUUGGUGCUACAAAAUUGUUGAAACUUCAAUCAAAUUUCACAGGGGGAGCUUGCUGGUACUUCAGUUAUACAGUUUAGGUUCAGUAAGAACUUUUAGAGGUACUGAAAUUCUUACCUGAAGUACUUUCUCUUGGUGAACAUUAGUAAUAUAGAAAAAGGGGUAACAAAUGGUUGUCAGCCUAAAGUUGGCAUCCUUGUGGAAAUGAAUAGGCAUCUCAUUAAAAAAAUAGUCUAGCACAUUUUCUUCAAAUAGAAUUAAGUAUUGCACAGUUACUACUUCCCACUCACUAUAUGUGUGUCUAUAUGUAUAUAGACACACAUUUAUAUAUGGUUAAAUAUAUAUUCGUAUAUUUUAAGGAUCGUCCCUCAGCAUAUAAAGGAUUAAAAUAACUUUUUAAUCUAAUUAACAGU